UUCGCAUUUGUUUUGUUUCCGUUCAAGAGUUUUUACUGUAUUUAUUUUUAAAUUUAUUUCAUAGGAAUUGAACAAAUUGUACGGACUUCGUUCUAUUUUGGUGAUUUUUGUUUUGCAAUUUUCAAAGUGUGAAAUUCUUGUCGCAGGUGUCUAGUCUUGUUUUUCUUCUAUUUUGUUCUUUGGCUUAUUUUAAAUGUUGGCACUCGGCAACAAACAAAAGGUAAAGCACAAUAAACAUGAACAAGUGAUAAGCGCACGUUAGCUGCAAUGCACGCAGCAGUGGAAAAGAGAGAAGAAGAGGUGUUAUAAAAGAUCGUUAUAUGGAAAAAGAGAAAAUUCAUAACAAUGCAAAUAUGCGAAAUAGACUAAAAUUGGAUGGAGGCGGUGCCAAAAAAAAAAAAA